rnacentral:piRNA from 1 species
UUAGAGCCAUACCUUGCUCUUACAGUUUGC